rnacentral:misc_RNA from 1 species
GAAAGUAAAAGUCGUAACAAGGUUUCCGUAGGUGAACCUGCGGAAGGAUCAUUAAUGAGUUGUCAUGGGGUUCGAUGCUGGCAGCCAAUUUUUGGAUGCAUGUGCUUGCCCUAACAAUCAUCUUCCAAACACCUGUGCACAUUUUUGAGGGAGUCUUGAGUUGGUUGCCGCUCUUGGGUGAUUUUCUCACAUUCCCUUAAAUCAUUAUACGCUAUUAACAAUGUUGAACGUGCUCUGUGCCGCAAGGCUAUUAAUAUAAUACAACUUUUAACAACGGAUCUCUUGGCUCUC